UUUUCUUUCCAGCAUUCAGAAGUGCCUAGAUCCCUUGAUGCAUUUUUAACUCUUGGACAUGAGAGGUUCACGAACACAUUCUUAUCUUAUCCAGGAAGGUCAGGCAGUCUACAGACAAAUGGAAAAUUUUCCAGGUGCCUGAAGUGUUACCCAGAGGCUGUCUUGAGUGAAUCAUAUGGAGCCUCACACUGAGGCAGGUUACCCGUGCAGAUGACAUACCACGACAAGCAUGGAGCCUGCUCAGCUCACUGUCACCAUAUGUCUUCUGGGUGCUGUCAGAUGUGGUACAGCAUUGCUAAACAGCAGCAGCUCGUUGCCUUUUGGCAGCAGAUGGUGCAUUACAAUUGGUAACCAUCAUCAUUGUCUGCUGGGUGCUCUUUUAGCUGACCUCGGUAAGAUCAGUCGGGGGCG